UACGUAGGGGGCAAGCGUUGUCCGGAAUCAUUGGGCGUAAAGCGCGCGUAGGCGGCCCGGUAAGUCCGCUCUGAAAGUCCAGGGCUCAACCCUGGAAAGCGGGUGGAUACUGCCGGGCUAGAAUCCGGAAGAGGCGAGUGGAAUUCCUGGUGUAGCGGUGGAAUGCGCAGAUAUCAGGAAGAACACCAACGGCGAAGGCAGCUCGCUAGGACGGUACUGACGCUGAGACGCGAAAGCGUGGGGAGCGAACAGG
rnacentral:rRNA from 1 species